CUGGAGCCGCCGCUCCAGCGAUGCGCGCAAGUCCCGCGAUACUUGGCAGGCGCGGCCCCCGAGAGCGACCGUGGGGUCGGCUCCUUGCCCCCGAGAGCUCACGGCCACCCCCGGCCUCCCAGGGCCCCCCCGGGCCAAAAGGGGCCGCCGAACCCCGCGCCCGCCCAGGCUCCAGCCAGCCUCUCCAAGGUGCGCUGCCCUCGGAGAAAGCUCCGCGACCCCACCCCCGCCGUCGACUCUCCCGGGGAGACUGGCGGCCGGCGACUCGUGUCUGGGCGCCCUGAAGCUGAAAGGACAGAGUUUGGCCUCUUGUCCCUGGCAGUGCCAACAGACUGGCAGGAUCCUAGUGUUCGGGUUAGCAACAGCCUGCGGCCAGGGUUUGCCCCUGCAUUCCUAUGCCCUUGCAAUUCAUCGGUUGAAGACUCUGAACCAGUUGGCCUGUAGCAUACUGUGUAGUCUGGAGUGUGCUGAUGUCGUAGUCAUUUGAAAGAUCUGUGUUCUGUUUCUACAAAUGGAAAGCUGUUGAUGUUAAAUGCCUGGAUCCAAUAAAUCAUUGGAAAUUGCAAGUUGGAGCUGAGUACUAGAUGCUUUUACUGCUUAAAAAAAAAAAAAAGAAGAAGAAGAAGCUCUUGUCCACAGCACAUCUAAAAGACUUGCCAUUAAGCUCUCUGUUAUUCGCCUCUCUUCUGCUUCUGCUGACAAGAAUGACAUCAAUUUCUGCUUCAGAUGGUAAAAGAAUUUUAUAAAUGCAUAUGGGACUAAUUUCAUCUGGAAGAACUCAUGACAUUUCUGCAUCAUAUCUGCAAGCUGAGGACAUGACUGCAAAGAAAUGCUCAAAGAGAUACCAUUCUACACCAGCCAGACUUCAGACUUUGGUCUCCUACCAAGAUAAUGAAGAACUGGAAAGAAAUAGCCCUCCCUGGUGGCGCAGCGGGUUAAAGCACAGCACUGAG